CUAACACAUGCAAGUCGAACGGUAACAGGAAGAAGCUUGCUUCUUUGCUGACGAGUGGCGGACGGGUGAGUAAUGUCUGGGAAACUGCCUGAUGGAGGGGGAUAACUACUGGAAACGGUAGCUAAUACCGCAUAACGUCGCAAGACCAAAGAGGGGGACCUUCGGGCCUCUUGCCAUCGGAUGUGCCCAGAUGGGAUUAGCUAGUAGGUGGGGUAACGGCUCACCUAGGCGACGAUCCCUAGCUGGUCUGAGAGGAUGACCAGCCACACUGGAACUGAGACACGGUCCAGACUCCUACGGGAGGCAGCAGUGGGGAAUAUUGCACAAUGGGCGCAAGCCUGAUGCAGCCAUGCCGCGUGUAUGAAGAAGGCCUUCGGGUUGUAAAGUACUUUCAGCGGGGAGGAAGGGAGUAAAGUUAAUACCUUUGCUCAUUGACGUUACCCGCAGAAGAAGCACCGGCUAACUCCGUGCCAGCAGCCGCGGUAAUACGGAGGGUGCAAGCGUUAAUCGGAAUUACUGGGCGUAAAGCGCACGCAGGCGGUUUGUUAAGUCAGAUGUGAAAUCCCCGGGCUCAACCUGGGAACUGCAUCUGAUACUGGCAAGCUUGAGUCUC
rnacentral:rRNA from 1 species